rnacentral:rRNA from 1 species
AAACCUUGAUGGAAGCAAUACCCUUCCCAUCCGCCUGGGAACUACGAGCACCAGCUUAAAACCCAAAGGACUUGGCGGUGCUUUAGACCCCCCUAGAGGAGCCUGUCCUAGAACUGAUAACCCCCGUUAAACCUCACCGCCCCUUGUUAACACCGCCUAUAUACCGCCGUCGUCAGCUUACCCUGUGAAGGUAAAACAGUAAGCAAAAUUAGUAAAACUCAAAACGUCAGGUCGAGGUGUAGCGCAUGAGGCGGGAAGAAAUGGGCUACAUUCUCUCUUGAGAGCAUACGAAUGAUGUAUUGAAACAUACACCUAAAGGAGGAUUUAGCAGUAAGUGGCAAAUAGAGCGUCCC